rnacentral:rRNA from 1 species
GACGAACGCUGGCGGCGUGCUUAACACAUGCAAGUCGAACGGAAAGGCCCUGCUUUUGUGGGGUGCUCGAGUGGCGAACGGGUGAGUAACACGUGAGUAACCUGCCCUUGACUUUGGGAUAACUUCAGGAAACUGGGGCUAAUACCGGAUAGGAGCUCCUGCUGCAUGGUGGGGGUUGGAAAGUUUCGGCGGUUGGGGAUGGACUCGCGGCUUAUCAGCUUGUUGGUGGGGCAGUGGCUUACCAAGGCUUUGACGGGUAGCCGGCCUGAGAGGGUGACCGGCCACAUUGGGACUGAGAUACGGACCAGACUCCUACGGGAGGCAGCAGUGGGGAAUAUUGCACAAUGGGCGGAAGCCUGAUGCAGCAACGCCGCGUGCGGGAUGACGGCCUUCGGGUUGUAAACCGCUUUCGCCUGUGACGAAGCGUGAGUGACGGUAAUGGGUAAAGAAGCACCGGCUAACUACGUG